rnacentral:rRNA from 1 species
UAAAGAGCUCGUAGGCGGUUUGUCGCGUCUGUCGUGAAAGUCCGGGGCUUAACCCCGGAUCUGCGGUGGGUACGGGCAGACUAGAGUGCAGUAGGGGAGACUGGAAUUCCUGGUGUAGCGGUGGAAUGCGCAGAUAUCAGGAGGAACACCGAUGGCGAAGGCAGGUCUCUGGGCUGUAACUGACGCUGAGGAGCGAAAGCAUGGGGAGCGAACAGGAUUAGAUACCCUGGUAGUCCAUGCCGUAAACGUUGGGCACUAGGUGUGGGGACCAUUCCACGGUUUCCGCGCCGCAGCUAACGCAUUAAGUGCCCCGCCUGGGGAGUACGGCCGCAAGGCUAAAACUCAAAGGAAUUGACGGGGGCCCGCACAAGCGGCGGAGCAUGCGGAUUAAUUCGAUGCAACGCGAAGAACCUUACCAAGGCUUGACAUGUUCUCGAUCGCCGUAGAGAU